CGGAGGAUCCGAGCGUUAUCCGGAUUUAUUGGGUUUAAAGGGUGCGUAGGCGGCCUGUUAAGUCAGGGGUGAAAGACGGUAGCUCAACUAUCGCAGUGCCCUUGAUACUGAUGGGCUUGAAUGUACUAGAGGUAGGCGGAAUGUGGCAAGUAGCGGUGAAAUGCAUAGAUAUGUCACAGAACACCAAUUGCGAAGGCAGCUUACUAUGGUAUUAUUGACGCUGAGGCACGAAAGCGUGGGGAUCAAACAGGAUUAGAUACCCUGGUAGUCCACGCCCUAAACGAUGAAUACUCGAUGUUAGCGAUAUACAGUUAGCGUCAAAGCGAAAGCGUUAAGUAUUCCACCUGGGGAGUACGCCCGCAAGGGUG
rnacentral:rRNA from 1 species